CAGCAGUCGCGGCAAUACAAGGAAGACAAGUGUUAUUCAUCUUAAAUCGGUUUAAGGGGUACCUAGACGGUAAAUUAGGCCAUAGUAGGUACGUUUUUACUAGAGUUAUACAUGCAUGGGGAUUGUGUCAGUAUUACCAGAGUAGAGAUGAAAUUUUUUGAUACUGUUAAGACUGGUAAAGGCGAAAGCAAACCUUUAUAUAUUAACUGACGUUGAGGGACGAAGGCUUGGGGAGCAAACAGGAUUAGAUACCCUAAUAGUCCAGGCAGAGAAUUAUGAAUGUCAUAGGUUAUACUUAAUGUAGUCUAUAAAUGAAAGUGUAAGCAUUCCACCUCAAGAGUAAUGUGGCAACGCAGGAACUGAAAUCAUUAGACCGUUUCUGAUACCAGUAGUGAAGUAUGUUGUUUAAUUUGUCGGUCCACAAAGAACCUUACCACAAUUUGAAUAUAUUUAAUAUAUAUAUAUAUAUUUAUAUAUAUAUAUAUUUAUUUAUACAAGCGUUGCAUUGUUGUCUUCAGUUAAUGUUGUGAGACUUUGAUUAGAUUCAUAAAAUUAACGUAAUCCUAUAAUCUAUUUAAAUAUUAAUAGCUUAGUACACCGCAAUUAUGUGGUUUUGUUAACCGGGAGUAAGACAAGUCGUAAUGACCUUAAUCUUGUGGGCUAUAGACGUGCCACA
rnacentral:rRNA from 1 species